rnacentral:rRNA from 1 species
GACGAACGCUGGCGGCGUGCUUAACACAUGCAAGUCGAACGGAAAGGCCCUGCUUUUGUGGGGUGCUCGAGUGGCGAACGGGUGAGUAACACGUGAGUAACCUGCCCUUGACUUUGGGAUAACUUCAGGAAACUGGGGCUAAUACCGGAUAGGAGCUCCUGCUGCAUGGUGGGGGUUGGAAAGAUUCGGCGGUUGGGGAUGGACUCGCGGCUUAUCAGCUUGUUGGUGGGGUAGUGGCUUACCAAGGCUUUGACGGGUAGCCGGCCUGAGAGGGUGACCGGCCACAUUGGGACUGAGAGACGGCCCAGUCGCCUACGGGAGGCAGCAGUGGGGAAUAUUGCGCAAUGGGCGCAAGCCUGAUGCAGCAACGCCGCGUGCGUGAUAACGGCCUUCGGGUUAUAAACCGCUGUCGCCUGUGACGAAGCGUUAGUGACGGUAAUGAGUAAAAAAGCACCGGCUAACUACGUG